rfam:Dictyostelium lacteum strain TK F4PJNLW01A00V1, whole genome shotgun sequence.
ACAAGGGUGUUCUUAAACACCACCCAAUAUACAAAGAAAUUUCUUUU